GACGAACGCUGGCGGCGUGCUUAACACAUGCAAGUCGAGCGGUAAGGCCCUUUCGGGGGUACACGAGCGGCGAACGGGUGAGUAACACGUGGGUGACCUGCCCUUAGCUCUGGGAUAAGCCUGGGAAACUGGGGUCUAAUACCGGAUAUGACUCCAUGACGCAUGUUGUGGGGUGAAAGCCUUGUGCGGCUAGGGAUGGGCCCGCGGCCUAUCAGCUUGUUGGUGGGGUGAUGGCCUACCAAGGCGACGACGGGUAGCCGGCCUGAGAGGGCGACCGGCCACACUGGGACUGAGACACGGCCCAGACUCCUACGGGAGGCAGCAGUGGGGAAUCUUGCGCAAUGGGCGAAAGCCUGACGCAGCGACGCCGCGUGGGGAUGACGGCCU
rnacentral:rRNA from 1 species